ensembl:lncRNA
CUUCCGCCUCACCUGGCACCUGGCUGGGUCGGAGGGAACCGGGCCGGGGGUGCGUGACACUCCUCCGAGCCCUGGGGCCCCACGCACCCAGAGUCGGGAGGAAGCCGACCCGCUCCUGGAUCUUAGGGGCUCCAGGCGGCUGAGUCAGGUGCCCGGGCCGACCUUGGGCGGCGGAGGCCACGCUUUGAGAGGAGCUACCGCGGAAUCGCCCUGGAGGGCGGGAGCGGCCGCCGCCGGAGGCUGCCAGCCCCGUGCUGGCCGAGCAGCGGGGGAGAGGUGCACGUGGUUCCCUCGGGCCCUGCCAGGCCGCUGCUCUCCUCCGCCUUCUCCCCUAGCCCCCACCGGUGCUUUUCUGCUUUUCCUGACCAGCAGUUUUGCUGGGAGCCUCAGUUCAACCACUGUGGUCUCCAAGUCACUGUGCCCAGGAGGUCAGCGCCUCCAUCUCUGGGACUGAAACUGUAACUUUUUGGCUCGAGUCUGUUCUCUGGUCUUCUUACUUAUUCUCUGCAGGCUCAGGGCCCAGGGCUUGGUCCAGGCCACACAGGCCUGAGGCUCCUGCAGGCUGUGGGUGGGUGGGGGGACACUGACAGGGCUUGGGAUUUCUUCUCUAGUUGAGGACAGACGGCCUCCGGAUUGGUAAGAGCUGGGGGCUGUGUUGCUGCGCGCCCUCAACCUGCCCUCCCCCUCAGUGCCGGCCUGAGAUGCCACAGGUGGGGGUAGCCUGUGAGACCCUUCUAGGCUGAGGCCCUUUCGGGCAGCCUCCUGCUGGGAGCAUGUUGACACUCUGAGACUGGUCCUGUGAGGACCACAAGCGCCUCCAGGGAGAGGGGUGCGUACGGCCGUGGGGGCGCGUCCCAGGGCCCACUGCGCUGUGACCCUGCCUUGUGACGUCAGCCCUGGUCCUCAGCCGCCCUGCGCCCCCCGCCCUGACACCCAGGCAGGAAGCUCCCACUCUCUUACCUGGAGAAGCUUGUGCUUUCUCCAUGCACCUUUGCCGGGGAGUGGGGGAGGAAGCAUGCGGUGUGUGCAGGGUCCAGAUGCUGGGAGAGACGGAAGAGACAAGGGGCCGCAGCCUGCCAGGUCCCGGUCGGGGGUGCUGGUGCUCGCCCUGCCUCUGCAGCCCCGUCUGGCAGGGGGUCAGCAGGAAGGCAGACUGUGCUGGUCGUGCCAUCCCCCCUAACCUCUGAAGUCACCCCUUCCCUGAGCCGCUCCCCUCCCAGCCUCAGGGGCGAGCCCCCACUGGGAGGCCAGAGCACCUUCAGGUCUCCCACAUGGGGACCCCUAGCCUUGCUCCUGAAACUUCUUGGGGGGGGGGACCCACCAAAAUCACUCCACCCAGACUUCCGGUCCACCCUCCCUCAGCCAGGCUUGCCAGGGAAGAAGGAGUCUGAGCCACUGGGGCGCUCUGUGCCUGGCACACCACGGGUGCCCCAAGCGUCUGCCCCUGACUGGGCUUGGGUCUGGGCGCUGCCCAUGGUGGUGAACAGGCUGUGUGAGUCUGGGCCUCUGAUGAGCUCUCUCCCUCUGCGCCAGAGAGUAAGACCUGCUGUCCGGGGAAAAGAGGAAAGGGCACCCUGUGACCUGCUGAUGGUGCAGGGGAGGAGGCUUGGGAGCUGCACUGCCUUGUGGGCUUCGGGCUCAGACACGCGUACAGUUCUGAUGCUGCCAUCCGCUCACCAUGUGUGA